CCUCAUUUAGUCCUCCUCCACAAUUUUUCUUCCAAAUUCACUCAAUCUUCAAGCCAAUUCAGGGGUGUGUGGUUUUUUGUUUUUUUUUUACUAGCUGCCAGCAUUAUAAGCUCAACUUGUUACCUGAAAAUCAAGCUAUGUUCUUUCUGCUUAUUAAAACAUCACCAACUGGAAAGCUUGUGAAAUGAGAAGUUAACUGGCAAUACUGUGGAAGAUGCACGAAGCAGCGUAUGACACAGCUGGCACAUCUACAGGAAAGAGAAAAAAAUUGUCAUUAAACUCAGCACAUAUGAGUCAGGAAACACACCAACCAUGAUGCCAAUGGUGGUGGCGGUAUGUGUGCUGGAAACCUCUGCCUUAAGGGAACAUGAUGGAAACCACCGAACUCAAUUCCCACAGGACACUGAACAGCCAUUGGAGGGAGUGGUGGAAACCCCAUUGUUUGGGUCAUCUGAAACUGAUGAUGUGCACAGCAUUGGAGAGCAUACUGGAGGGAACUAUCUUGCAAAGAUAUGCUUAGAUGACCUAAUAGGUCUGUUCCAUCUCUAAUCACUCUGGCUCAGUCUACUGUAUCACGCUGCUCCUCUGCUCCAUUUCCACUAGCAGGAAGAGUACUGACAUUUUGGUGUUUCAACACCCUGCCUACUCACAAGACUGAUGUACACAGAGGGAGUGACAGACAGUGUAAGGAUGGUGCCAUCUGCAGAAACCCAUCCCAGCCGUCAGCCAAACCAGAGCUUAGUGUUUGAGUCACCCAGCAGAGGAACUGGUGGUUUCACUGAAUCAUGUGUCCUGGAUUUAUAGGUCUCAAACUUUCCUGUCUUGAGGGAAUUGCAAAUAAAAAAUAGGCCUGGAUUUUGGUUAUUUCAGCCCAGGAAGGC